GUCCGGGAUAGCCUAGUAGACAUGUCAUCUGCCCGGUAAGCGGAACACUGUGGGUUCGAUUCCCAUCCCUGGACA
rnacentral:tRNA from 1 species